GUGUCUUACUUUUAGGCCUACGUUUGGUUACAACUCAGCUUAUUUUACAAAUUUGUUUUUGUUUUUCUUCAGUUGACAUGUGACCAAAUCUGCAGUUAAAAGCUGUAUUCUGAAAUUACAGUUGAGGGGUUUUUGAUGCGCAAUUGCAAUGGACAGCAUCAGAUAUGAAAACUGCUAUGCAGCCAGAGAGGUUUCCAAACAGAUGGUUCCUUCUGACUGGAGAAAUGUUGAAUGGACCGACCAGCAUUGAUGUGUUUAAGAGAAAAGCCUGUGUGGUCUUGCCGGACUUCUCCAGUGCCUUGAGGCUCAGGGAUUUGUUAAACAAUGCCUUUAACCACCUCCGCUUUAUGUUUUCACCUCAUGGAAGACGGAGGCGCCCCGCAGUGCGGCCUUUCAUACGAAAGAAGACAUCGGCAGCCGGCACCGUGCUCUGCUCUCGGUGACCUGUGACCUCUGCAUGCUGUUACAUAUACAGAUCAACACAAAAGCAGCAAGAACACAACUUCAUUAAAAUAAUAAAUGUAAACGUUG